rnacentral:snRNA from 1 species
GUGCUUGCUUAAGUAGCACACACUAAAAUUGGAAUGAUUAGCAUGGCCCCUGCACAAGGAUGACAUACACAUUAGUAAAGUGAUCUGUAUUUUU